rnacentral:rRNA from 1 species
GAUGAACGCUGGCGGCGUGCUUAACACAUGCAAGUCGAACGGUGAAGCAGGAGCUUGCUCUUGUGGAUCAGUGGCGGACGGGUGAGUAACACGUGAGCAACCUGCCCCUGACUCUGGGAUAAGCGCUGGAAACGGCGUCUAAUACUGGAUAUGUGAUGUGACCGCAUGGUCUGCAUCUGGAAAGAAUUUCGGUUGGGGAUGGGCUCGCGGCCUAUCAGCUUGUUGGUGAGGUAAUGGCUCACCAAGGCGUCGACGGGUAGCCGGCCUGAGAGGGGGACCGGCCACACUGGGACUGAGACACGGCCCAGACUCCUACGGGAGGCAGCAGUGGGGAAUAUUGCACAAUGGGCGGAAGCCUGAUGCAGCAACGCCGCGUGAGGGAUGACGGCCUUCGGGUUGUAAACCUCUUUUAGCAGGGAAGAAGCGAAAGUGACGGUACCUGCAGAAAAAGCACCGGCAAACUACGUGCCAGCCGCCGCGGUAA